GGCUUGUUGGUCUAGCAGCAUGAUUCUUGCUUUGGGAGCAAGAGGUCCCGGGUGCGAAUCCCGGACAAGCCC
rfam:Pelodiscus sinensis unplaced genomic scaffold scaffold430, whole genome shotgun sequence.